CCUACGGGGGGCAGCAGUAGGGAAUCUUCCGCAAUGGACGAAAGUCUGACGGAGCAACGCCGCGUGAGCGAAGAAGGUCUUAGGAUCGUAAAGCUCUGUUGUUAGGGAAGAACAAGUACGGGAGGAAAUGACCGUACCUUGACGGUACCUAAGGAGGAAACCACGGCUAGCUACGGGCCAGGAUCCGCGGUAAUCCGUAGGGGGCAAGCGGUAUCCGGAAUUAUUGGGCGUAAAGCACGCGCAGGCGGUCUUGUAAGUCUGAUGUGCAUUCUUCCGGCUCAACCGCAAGCGUGCAUUGGAAACUGGGAGACUUGAGUUCCGAAGAGGAAAGCGGAAUUCAACGUGUAGCGGUGAACUGCGUAGAGGUGGGGCAGAACACCAGUGGCGAAGGCGGCUUUCUGGUCUGUAACUGACGCUGAGGCGCGAAAGCGUGGGGAGCAAACAGGAUUAGAUACCCCUGUAGUC
rnacentral:rRNA from 1 species